rnacentral:rRNA from 1 species
UCAGGCCUAACACAUGCAAGUCGAACGGCAGCACGGACUUCGGUCUGGUGGCGAGUGGCGAACGGGUGAGUAAUACAUCGGAACGUGCCCAGUCGUGGGGGAUAACGUAGCGAAAGCUACGCUAAUACCGCAUACGAUCUACGGAUGAAAGCGGGGGAUCGCAAGACCUCGCGCGAUUGGAGCGGCCGAUGGCAGAUUAGGUAGUUGGUGGGGUAAAGGCUCACCAAGCCGACGAUCUGUAGCUGGUCUGAGAGGACGACCAGCCACACUGGGACUGAGACACGGCCCAGACUCUUACGGGAGGCAGCAGUGGGGAAUUUUGGACAAUGGGCGCAAGCCUGAUCCAGCCAUUCCGCGUGCAGGAUGAAGGCCCUCGGGUUGAAACUGCUUUUGUACGGAACGAAAAGGCUCUGG